rnacentral:rRNA from 1 species
UACAGAGGCCUCGAGCGUUAGGCGGAAUCACUGGGCUUAAAGCGUGUGUAGGCGGACUUCUAAGUGCCUUGUGAAAUCCCACGGCUCACCCGUGGAACUGCUGGGCAUACUGGUCGUCUUGAGCCACCUAGGGGCUGCCGGAACAAAUGGUGGAGCGGUGAAAUGCGUAGAUAUCAUUUGGAACGCCAAUGGUGAAAACAGCUCGCUGGGAAUGAUCUGACACUGAGACGCGAAAGCCAGGGGAGCGAACGGG